rnacentral:rRNA from 1 species
UACAGAGGGGGCAAGCGUUGUUCGGAAUUACUGGGCGUAAAGGGCGCGUAGGCGGCCUUCUAAGUCGAACGUGAAAUCCCUGGGCUCAACCCAGGAACUGCGUCCGAUACUGGAAGGCUAGAAUCCGGGAGAGGGAUGCGGAAUUCCAGGUGUAGCGGUGAAAUGCGUAGAUAUCUGGAGGAACACCGGUGGCGAAGGCGGCAUCCUGGACCGGUAUUGACGCUGAGGCGCGAAAGCCAGGGGAGCAAACGGG